AAAAUUAUUGCUAUUAGAUGAGCCUAUAUUAGAUUAGCUAGUUGGUGGAGUAAUAGCCUACCAAGGCAAUGAUCUAUAGCUGAUCUGAGAGGAUGAUCAGCCACACUGGAACUGAGAUACGGUCCAGACUCCUACGGGAGGCAGCAGUGGGGAAUAUUGGACAAUGGGCGAAAGCCUGAUCCAGCCAUGCCGCAUGAGUGAAGAAGGCCUUUGGGUUGUAAAGCUCUUUUAGUGAGGAAGAUAAUGACGGUACUCACAGAAGAAGUCCUGGCUAACUCCGUGCCAGCAGCCGCGGUAAUACGGAGAGGGCUAGCGUUAUUCGGAAUUAUUGGGCGUAAAGGGCGCGUAGGCUGAUUAAUAAGUUAAAAGUGAAAUCCCGAGGCUUAACCUUGGAAUUGCUUUUAAAACUAUUAAUCUAGAGAUUGAAAGAGGAUAGAGGAAUUCCUGAUGUAGAGGUAAAAUUCGUAAAUAUUAGGAGGAACACCAGUGGCGAAGGCGUCUAUCUGGUUCAAAUCUGACGCUGAAGCGCGAAGGCGUGGGGAGCAAACAGGAUUAGAUACCCUGGUAGUCCACGCUGUAAACGAUGAAUGUUAAAUAUGGGAAGUUUAC
rnacentral:rRNA from 1 species